rnacentral:rRNA from 1 species
AACGCGAAGAACCUUACCUGGGCUUGAACUACGGAUGGUAAGCUGUUGGAAACAGUGGCUGACCCGCAAGGGAGUCCGCAGAGGUGCUGCAUGGUUGUCGUCAGCUCGUGUCGUGAGAUGUUGGGUUAAGUCCCGCAACGAGCGCAACCCCUACUCGAUGUUGCUAAUCCCGCAAGGGAUGCACUCUUCGAGAACUGCCUUCGAUAAGAAGGAGGAAGGUGGGGACGACGUCAAAUCCUCAUGGCCCUUAUGUCCAGGGCUACACACGUGUUACAAUGGCCGGUACAAUGGGAAGCAAUACCGCAAGGUGGAGCCAAACCCACAAAGCCGGCCCCAGUUCAGAUUGUGGGCUGCAACUCGCCCACAUGAAGGCGGAAUCGCUAGUAAUCGCUGAUCAGCAGGCAGCGGUGAAUACGUUCCCGGGCCUUGUA